CCUCUUUCUCGCCCCUUGCCUCUCGCAAAAGGCAACGGACCCAGGCGACGAAUCAAACGCCAUUUUUUUGGGCCUCUUUAUCCUGCGACUCUUUCCGUGGUUGUGAGGAUCCGAUCCUCCCUCCCUCCUUGAUAUCUGCCCCCCUUCCCUUCCCCUUCUCUCUGGAACGCAACUAAGAACCCACCACCGGAAAGAAACCCUAGUUUUUUUUUGGUGCCCUUUUGGAGCUCGAAGAGGCAAAGACGAGGAGGAGGAGGUGGGGACGAUGAACGACGCCGAUGUGUCGAAGCAGAUCCAGCAAAUGGUCCGGUUCAUCCGGCAGGAAGCCGAGGAGAAAGCUAAUGAGAUCUCCGUCUCCGCCGAAGAGGAUUCACGAUAAUCUUUGGCUGAUUGUGGAAGAUUUCCCCCUCCACUACAUGCAGGAAUUCAACAUAGAAAAGCUGCAGCUAGUCGAAGCAGAGAAAAGAAAGAUCCGACAAGAAUAUGAACGCAAGGAAAAACAGGUGGAAAUUCGCAGGAAAAUUGAGUAUUCAAUGCAGCUCAAUGCAUCACGUAUCAAGGUUUUGCAAGCCCAAGAUGAUCUUGUAAAUUCAAUGAAAGAGGCUGCUAGCAAGGAGCUUUUGCGUGUUUCUAAUGACUCAAAGGCCUAUAAAAUGCUUUUGAAAGGACUGAUAGUCCAGAGCUUACUACGUCUGAAAGAGCCAUCAGUUUUACUACGCUGCAGGAAGGUUGACCGUAAAGUGGUAGAAUCUAUCUUGAAUGAGGCUAAACAAGAGUAUGCAGAUAAAGCAGCAGUUCAUCCACCAAAAAUUACUGUUGAUAAUGUGUAUCUUCCACCACCUCCAACCAACAAUGAGACUCAUGGAAUGUUUUGCUCUGGAGGUGUUGUGCUGGCUUCACAAGAUGGGAAGAUUGUCAUUGAGAACACAUUGGAUGCAAGACUGGAUGUUGCUUUCCGACAGAAAUUACCUGAGGUAUGGAUAUGAUGCAUCUGAGGCAUCUUCCGGUGGCUACUGUUCUAUGCAAUUCGGAGCAUCUUACAGGUUAGAUUUUGCUGUCGGCUUAUUUGGAUGAGCUCCUUCACGAUUGUUUUAUCAGCUAGAGGACACCUCUCAGAGCUAAAGCUUCAGCGAGAGAUCUGAGAGUGCUUAUAACCUAGAGCGUAUUUUUUAUAGGGUGGACAUAUAAGACUACAAUGUCGCUUGGUUAGAGGGGUGAGCUGAUCUACCUCCUGAUUAUGCUAGUGAUCUGAAUAUCUACAAGAGGUAUCACCACUCGACGAGAUUUUAGAUAUCGAUCAGAAAGCGUCUCUUCGGAAAGAUGGAAGCCUGAUUUGUUCAUAUCUAUAUUUUCCUUUGCAAUAAAAGAUCAAUCUGGUCCUUUCUUCCCUUUCUGUAAUUUGGUCAUAUUGUCUCUUUCAUAAACGUUGACUUGGUUCCAAUUUGAGAUUGACAGUUGGUCUUGUAUUCAGUAGCGCCAAAGUCACUGCUCCGUAACAUGCCAAACAAAAUCUGUUUCAUCCUAUCACACAACCCUGGUAUUAUUCUUGUUGUAAUUGCUUUGAAUGGGCUUGCCCAUACAAUGGGAUCCUAAGAUAAGCCUUAAUGGCACUUCUGCUU